rnacentral:rRNA from 1 species
UGCAAGUCGAACGAACUCUGGUAUUGAUUGGUGCUUGCAUCAUGAUUUACAUUUGAGUGAGUGGCGAACUGGUGAGUAACACGUGGGAAACCUGCCCAGAAGCGGGGGAUAACACCUGGAAACAGAUGCUAAUACCGCAUAACAACUUGGACCGCAUGGUCCGAGCUUGAAAGAUGGCUUCGGCUAUCACUUUUGGAUGGUCCCGCGGCGUAUUAGCUAGAUGGUGGGGUAACGGCUCACCAUGGCAAUGAUACGUAGCCGACCUGAGAGGGUAAUCGGCCACAUUGGGACUGAGACACGGCCCAAACUCCUACGGGAGGCAGCAGUAGGGAAUCUUCCACAAUGGACGAAAGUCUGAUGGAGCAACGCCGCGUGAGUGAAGAAGGGUUUCGGCUCGUAAAACUCUGUUGUUAAAGAAGAACAUAUCUGAGAGUAACUGUUCAGGUAUUGACGGUAUUUAACCAGAAAGCCACGGCUAACUACGUGCCAGCAGCCGCGGUAAUACGUAGGUGGCAAGCGUUGUCCGGAUUUAUUGGGCGUAAAGCGAGCGCAGGCGGUUUUUUAAGUCUGAUGUGAAAGCCUUCGGCUCAACCGAAGAAGUGCAUCGGAAACUGGGAAACUUGAGUGCAGAAGAGGACAGUGGAACUCCAUGUGUAGCGGUGAAAUGCGUAGAUAUAUGGAAGAACACCAGUGGCGAAGGCGGCUGUCUGGUCUGUAACUGACGCUGAGGCUCGAAAGUAUGGGUAGCAAACAGGAUUAGAUACCCUGGUAGUCCAUACCGUAAACGAUGAAUGCUAAGUGUUGGAGGGUUUCCGCCCUUCAGUGCUGCAGCUAACGCAUUAAGCAUUCCGCCUGGGGAGUACGGCCGCAAGGCUGAAACUCAAAGGAAUUGACGGGGGCCCGCACAAGCGGUGGAGCAUGUGGUUUAAUUCGAAGCUACGCGAAGAACCUUACCAGGUCUUGACAUACUAUGCAAAUCUAAGAGAUUAGACGUUCCCUUCGGGGACAUGGAUACAGGUGGUGCAUGGUUGUCGUCAGCUCGUGUCGUGAGAUGUUGGGUUAAGUCCCGCAACGAGCGCAACCCUUAUUAUCAGUUGCCAGCAUUAGUUGGGCACUCUGG